rnacentral:rRNA from 1 species
AGAGUUUGAUCCUGGCUCAGAGCGAACGCUGGCGGCAGGCUUAACACAUGCAAGUCGAGCGGGCAUAGCAAUAUGUCAGCGGCAGACGGGUGAGUAACGCGUGGGAACGUACCUUUUGGUUCGGAACAACCAAGGGAAACUUUGGCUAAUACCGGAUACGCCCGUAAGGGGAAAGAUUUAUCGCUGAAAGAUCGGCCCGCGUCUGAUUAGCUAGUUGGUGAGGUAAUGGCUCACCAAGGCGACGAUCAGUAGCUGGUCUGAGAGGAUGAUCAGCCACAUUGGGACUGAGACACGGCCCAAACUCCUACGGGAGGCAGCAGUGGGGAAUAUUGGACAAUGGGCGCAAGCCUGAUCCAGCCAUGCCGCGUGAGUGAUGAAGGCCCUAGGGUUGUAAAGCUCUUUUGUGCGGGAAGAUAAUGACGGUACCGCAAGAAUAGGCCCCGGCUAACUUCGUGCCAGCAGCCGCGGUAAU